AGGGUGAUCAGGGUGUACGUUAUGCUACACCAGUGUUCUGCAUCCGUCAUUGCUAUUUAUAUGGUGCACGAUAAAAUUCCACACAAUCUUCAAUCGCAGUUAGUCAGAAGCAAUUGACGUCCAUGGAGGCCUGCGGUUUCAACGCAGCUUUAUCUUUUUUCUUCCGGAUUGACGUUAAACGGGGAGUACCCGGGGACUUUCCUUUUGAAUUACACAGCAUAGAAGCGCGAGUCCAUUCGACUGUGGAUAAACAUGCAUUGCGGACACGGGUGUCCGAUCCUUGUUGCUGGUAGCUACGUGUAAAUCAUUUUAUCGUGGGCGUGUAUUGGAAACAAACUGAUUUUACUAAGCCAUCGGAUUGUGGGGAACUAACUAUAAGUGUGCAUUAACAAUUAUCGCAAUAAUUUUGCGAAAUUUCUACCCUUUAGACUGAUGGAUACUCAAAAACCAAUAUGCCCUGUGAUUCGGACCGUUAUACCAUCUCUGGUUAUACGACGCUUCGCAGAUGCCUGAGUGUAACGAUGACCUCUUUUCAGUCUUCAAAUCAUUGAAAAAUUGAAAUUAAAGAAAACAACUUUCUUACGAACCAGAAUAUCAUCAUUCAUGUGAAUAGAUAUAAGGUACUAGAUUUGAAUAAAAGGCUUGAAAAAGUUAUUGAAAUUGUCAAGUUCAGAAGAAAGAAAAAUGGGUAUUUCACUGCUAAACAAUUUUUGCACAAGACUGAAACAUUCGGGAUUUCUCAUAUACAAAAAUAUCAUAGUUCGCAAACGGCACUUAAUUGGAACUCUUAUUGAGAUUUUAUUACCGGCAUGCAUUGUUGCGACAAUCCUUGCAGUCAGAUCUAACUUAGAUGUCGAACCUAUACAUGUUCGUAACAGCACAUACUAUGAAAUGCGAACAAGUAGUGAGGUGGUACGGGAUACCUCACGAUCUCGUGUCCGUCUGUAUUACAAACCACAAACUGAGCUGACGAAAAAUCUCAUGAGAAAUGUGACAGAAUGUAUGGGCAUAUUACCAAGUCAACUCUCUGGCUUCAAUUCGGAAGAAGUCAUGCUGCACCAUUAUGAGACACAGCAAGCAACGGAUUCAUUAGUUAAAGUCCUUGCAAUUGAUUUUGAUGAUAUGGAUGACUUCUCUGAUCCAAAAAAACUGAUCUACACUAUUCGAUCAUCACAGAAAAUUCCAGAUAAAUUACUUGAUGUUGAUAUCGAAGGCAUAAGUACAGCAUCGGAUCACUUACUUGACGAGAUUCCCGUUGUUGGUUUCCAGAUUUGUUUGGACAAUGCAUUUAUUGAAAGUAAAGCUCGCGAUGGUGCAAUUAAACCAAUGGUUUCACUCCAAAAAAUGCCAUUUCCACCAUAUGAUAAAGUUAAUGCCAAUGAACUUCAAAUACAGAAUGUGAUUUGUAGAAUUGGUGGACUUAUUUUCCUUGCAACAAUCUACCUGAUACCAACAUAUAUCAGUGCAGAAAAAUCCACUGGUGUAAAUACUCUACUGAAAAUAAAUGGAAUAAAAUCAUAUCAAAAUUUUCUAAGCUGGAUAGCAUGUGGCAUGGUUUUUAGCAUCAUCAUUGUUUCUUCAAUUACCACAAUUGUGAAAUUGAAUUUUCGAUCUGACCAAAAACCGUUUUACUAUCACACUGACUGCUGCAUAAUUUGGCUAACACUUUUCAUCAACCUUACUGCAAUUUAUGCCUUCUGUCUCCACCUGGCUACGUACUUCUCAAAAACAUGGCUUGCACAACUAGUGGCAACAACGGUGUCUCUAAUUAUAAACAUAACUGCAACCCAGUUUGAAAACUAUGAUAAAUCUACUUUUUUACCAUGGAUUGGAUUUCUUUGCCCAACUACGGCUACUAUGAGGAUAUUUGAUGAGCUUAAUAGGCGUGAAAAUCAACGUGUUGGAGCACAAUGGAGUAACGUUCUUGAGACAACGCAUCCAGCAUUGAAUUAUUGGGGUAGUCUUGGCUUCAUAAUGUUAUCGAACUUUAUGGGAAUAGUUUUCCAUUUCAUCCUCGCUGUAUAUCUGGAUGCUGUACUACCGAGCAAAUAUGGUAUCAAUGAGACUCCGUUAUUCUUCAUCAAGUAUUUUAAGAAGAACAAGGUGUGCAGCUCUUCUGAAAGUACACGUAUGCUUAAUCCAGUUCUAGAACCAGAAAUAUAUGAACAUGUUGCUGAUAAUAGCUUGUAUCCUGGGGUAAAACUGACACAGUUGGUGAAACGAUUUAUACGUGGAAUUAUCAAACGAAAUACAAUCAAAGCAGUUCAAGGACUCAGUUUGGAAUUUUACAAGGGGCAGAUCACUGCUUUGCUGGGUCACAAUGGUGCUGGAAAAAGUACAACAUUUGCAGUCUUGACUGGUUUGACAUCACCCUCAUCGGGAAGUGUGGAAAUUAAUGGCAAAGAUAUAACUGCGGAUAUUGAUGGGAUCAGAAGUGAUUUGGGCGUAUGUCUUCAAGAAAAUACCAUGUUCCCAGAUUUAACUGUAGUCGAACAGCUCCGAAUAGUUGGUUUGCUGAAGCAAAAAGACCGAACCAGAAAAGAGUUGAUGGCAGAAAUCGACGAAUUAUUGAAAAAGAUGGAUAUGGAAGAGAAACGAGAUGUUAUGCCAGACGAACUCUCCGGUGGUCAGAAAAGACGACUAUGCCUAGCUAUGGCACUUAUUGGCAAUGCUUCUACUAUAUUCUUAGAUGAACCAACAUCGGGUAUGGAUCCAGAAACACAGAGAGGGACAUGGGACACUAUAUUGAAAUACCGUGAUCAAAAAACGAUUAUAAUUACGACACACAGUAUGGAGGAAGCUGACGUUCUGGGUGAUCGAAUUGCAAUCAUGGAUUCAGGAAAACUGAAGUGUUAUGGUUCACCGAUGUACCUUAAAAAAUGCUAUGGGCACAAUCAUCAUGAAAUAACGCUGUCAACAACAUCAAAUUACGACAUAGACAAAAUUCGAGAGCUGGUUGGUAGCGAUGCAUCGAUAAAUGUGACUCAGCACGGCAGAAUUGUUAUAAACCUUCCAUUUACCAGCUCUUUACCGGAAAUUUUGGACAGUAUGGAAAAUCAAAAAGCAAAGUUGGGAAUUACUGGUCUCAGUGUGUCAAUAAUAACUUUGGAACAAGUUUUCUUAAGGGCUGCCGAUAAUGAAGAAAUAGCAAAUAAGUCGGAAGAUAAUGUUGAUGGGAAAGUAGCACAAGAUUUAAGAGGGUACGAAUAUUUGACAGGUUGGGACCUUACUUGGCAAAUGAUUUACGCGUUGUUAGCAAAGAAAAUGACCUAUUUCAAAGCUAACAAGGGUGUGAGUCUAGCACUCGUGUGUGGAACUCUGAUAGCGAUAUUAUUGCCGCUUGUUUUCAACCCAGCUGAUUAUGGGAAAAAACAAAAUUUACGGAUCGAGCUUCGAACAUAUAAAAGUCCAGAAGUGAUGAUACACUCCGGAGAUGAAACUUUAGGGAAUAUGUAUAAGAAGAUAAUUGAAAACCAGGGUGCUAAAAUCGAUGUCACUGAAGCUGGAGUCUCUCUGAGCAAAGGGUUACUAUCCAGAGCUCUAAAAGAUAUGACAUACUAUAAAACUCGAAUGAUUGUCUCAGCUGAAUUUAACUCAAGUGUGUCAGUAAAUGGUUUAUAUUCUGGCGGAGCGACAUUAAGUGCUCCAAUAGUCUUGAAUACCAUGUCAAAUUUACUGUUGAAGAUAGUGGCGGGCGAUCAAUAUUCAAUCGAUGCAAGUAUCGGCCAAUUGCCUCGAUCGUUAGUGCAAGAUGCACAGAAGAGAAUGGAGAAUAAAGUUGAAAUGCUAAUGAGAAACAUUUUAUUCAUGGCAAUAUUUGUUCACGUUGUUGCUUUGUUCGUCAUACAUCCGCUACUUGAGAAUAGCACAAGAUUUAAACAGUUACAGCAGAUGGCUGGUGUUUCGCCUUUUACAUACUGGGGAACAAUGUUUCUGGUUGAUUAUGGAUUUUAUAUAUUAGUGUCAUUAUUCGCCGUUUUUGGUAUUGUUUGUAGGGAUUUUUUCGAUCACUUGUCAGCUGUAUUUUUCUCAGAAUGUGGAGGGGUUUUACUUCUGUUAUUUCUGCUUUUUGGUAUCAAUGCUUUACUCUUGGCUUACAUACAUAGUUUCAUGAAGAAACGAUUCCAUGUUGUGUAUUCAAUUUUGAGUGGAAUACCAUUAUUAAUAGUAUUUAUCAUUGUUCCACUACAUGAAGUGUUAUCCUACAUGGAUAAUGUUAAAUGGGCAAAUGUAAUUCAGCGCAGAAUGUUUUCUUUGGCACCUGUCAUCAGUUUUGUUUUUGGAUGUAUGAAGUGGGAAGAAAUAGCAUUCAAAAAUGCAAGGUGCCGAGCAAUGCCUAAACUUUCAACUGCCAUUGCUUGUGAUACUAAUGACUACUGUUGUGCACUGAAGUGUUCUGAUGGAUAUUGCGAAAAUCCGUUACCAUUUUUGGGUGAUUUUAGUGAACAAGGCGGAAUCAAAGAGUAUAUUGUGUAUUUAUUAUUCACCCCGAUUAUUCUGGUGGGCAUCCUUUAUUUACUAGAGCAGCAGACGUUUGCAAAAUUGCGAUCAAAAUUCCAAGUAACGAACCACCACUCAAAGCGUUAUUCUGAUGAAACAAUAGACAGGAAAGUCGAAGAAGAAAAAAGAAUCGUAUGCCAAGAAAUUAAUAACAUUAACAGAGGGUCAUCUGAAUUUAAUUCUGAGAUCAAGAAUGUCUUUCUGGCAUCUGGACUGAGCAAACAUUACGGAAAAGUGGAAGCUGUCAAAGAAGUUAGUUUCAGAGUAUUGAGGAACGAGUGUUUCGGAUUGUUAGGUGUGAAUGGUGCUGGGAAAAGUUCUACUUUCCGAAUGUUAGUUGGUGAAGAAAUCCCGAAUAGUGGUAUUCUUUACCGUGGUCGCUACAGCAGUAAUUCCGAUCGAACCAAGUAUUUGGCUGGAAUGGGCUAUUGUCCUCAAACUGAUGCCUUGAUUCCAUGUCUUAAUGCAGUGGAACAGUUGACCCUUUUUGCCCGUCUGAGAGGCAUCCCAAAACAUGAGGUGGCGUCAGAGGUUUACUCGUGGAUUAACAAGCUGCAAUUGACCAAACAUGCAACAAAACCAAGUGGGGAUUAUAGUGGUGGAAAUAAACGGCGCUUAAAUAUUGCAAUUGCACUAAUUGCAAAUCCUGAACUGGUUUUGUUGGAUGAGCCAACGACUGGUGUCGAUCCAGCCGCCAAAAGAUUAGUAUGGACUGUUCUUCAAAAUUGCCAAGCAUCUGGCCAAGCCAUCAUACUUACGUCCCACAGUAUGGCGGAAUGCGAAGUUCUGUGUAAUCGUUUAGUGAUAAUGGCGAAAGGUCAACUAGUAUGUGUCGGAGCUAGUCAGGAGUUGAAAGAACGUUUUGUAGCAGGCUUCAAUAUCACAAUCAAACUGGAUCCGCGACGAACCGAACACAAUUGCACGAGAAUUAAGAAAAAAAUAGAAACGAAUUUCAUCUGUCGAUUAAUAGAUGAGCACCCUGGAUACUUAUUCUACCAUGUGACUGACCCGCAAGCGACUUGGGUGAAGAUGUUUGGGACAAUGAACGAUAUCCAAUCGGUACACCAAUGUGUCGAAGAUUUCACUGUAUCUACGUCUACGUUGGAACAACUGUUUAUGCAGUUUGCCAGGCCUACAGACUCUACGACGCAAUAUCACAUACAAUCGGAAACUGCAGCCGAAGAAAGUUGUGUCUAAGCUUAUUUCAUUUGAUUUGAAGUGACUGUGGGAUUGCAGGAACUGCGAGGAUGACUUCGAGGAAAGUAUUCAAGGGACCUAACAUGACAGCUUGACCUUGAGUCUCUCGCCGGCGGCCUUUGUCGGAGGCUUUCACCCUCAUUGAGUUGAAACUGUCAUCAGCAACGAGGGUGGCCUGCGGUGGCGCAUGCCUAG
rnacentral:misc_RNA from 1 species